GCAUGGUGGUGCAGUGGGUAGCACUGCAGCCUCACAGCUCCAGGGUCCCCAGUUAGAUCCUGGGUUCCUGUCCGUGCA